rnacentral:rRNA from 1 species
UACAGAGGGUGCGAGCGUUGUCCGGAAUCACUGGGCGUAAAGGGCGCGUAGGCGGCUCGGUAAGGUUGCGGUGAAAGCCCGGGGCUCAACCCCGGGUCGGCCGUGGCAACUGCUGAGCUAGAGCACUGUAGAGGCAGGUGGAAUUCCGGGUGUAGCGGUGGAAUGCGUAGAGAUCCGGAAGAACACCGGUGGCGAAGGCGGCCUGCUGGGCAGUGGCUGACGCUGAUGCGCGAAGGCGUGGGGAGCGAACGGG